UACGUAGGGGGCAAGCGUUGUCCGGAUUUAUUGGGCGUAAAGAGCGUGUAGGCGGCCAGGUAGGUCCGUUGUGAAAACUCGAGGCUCAACCUCGAGACGUCGGCGGAAACCCUUUGGCUAGAGUCCGGAAGAGGAGAGUGGAAUUCCUGGUGUAGCGGUGAAAUGCGCAGAUAUCAGGAAGAACACCCGUGGCGAAGGCGGCUCUCUGGGACGGUACUGACGCUGAGACGCGAAAGCGUGGGGAGCAAACAGG
rnacentral:rRNA from 1 species